rnacentral:lncRNA from 1 species
GGUCCAUCGUAUCCACGGCUCAUUUGCAGCGGCUGUAAUCAAGGAUGAUCUGGGGCUUCAUCUUACCCCCGCUGCUGAUCUCCGGCUCCCGGUGCUUUGUGCUGAGGAGAAGCACAUUCUUUCCCCGCUUUGGUACAUACGACACCAGGGUAUGCGUUGCUGUAAAAGCGAACAUUAAUGAGAGCGACUCUCUCCCCCCGGACCUUCAGGAGCUCAAGUGGAAGUUCUGGCUUGUUCUUCCUUAUUGUGCCGACCAUGGCGAUCUUUCUUUUGAGCAACUGCUCUGCCAGCCCGUAGGAGGAGAAAAAGUUGUCACAUGUGACAGUGACACCUGUUAGCCCCUCCGUCAUCUCCAGCACAACUCACUGUCCCUGUUGUUUUUAUGGAGGCGCACGGGCUGAUCGGCCGGUGUAAACCGAAACUCUCCAGACAUAGGACGUUACUACAUCGCAGGUUGCCCAAAUUUUGACGCCGUACCUCCUGGCUUCUUCGGCAUGUACUGCCGAAAGUUGCAUCGCCCACGAUACGCCACAGUUGCUCGUCGACGCAAAUGUCUGCUCCGGGGUUAAAUAUCUGUGGGAGCCGGUCAGUCCACUGGUCCCACAUGUCUCGGAUCGCGGCCAGCUUAUCAUCCCGACGCCGUGGUCUGGAGAGACGGUCGUCAAAGCACAGCGAUCUAGAAAUAAUUUCAAAGGUUUUUCUGGGCAUGGUCACCCGAAAAAUGUGGCGACCUGUCUCGCCGCCCCAGAGGCUGCGCGUCGCUUCUCCCCGGGACCGAUAGACGCCGGCCAGGAGGAGGAGUCCGAAGUACGCGCGAAUCGUUGUGGCGUCAAGGUCCUUCCACCCCCGGACCGUCCUUCUCCCAUGCAGGUGCCUGGUGAUUACAAAUUGAGGCCACCUGUUCCUGCUGUGGACUGCCAGGAUAAAAGGAGCCUCCGUCUCCUUUUUCAGUGCUGCACUUACCAUGCUAUGCACCCAGCCCGCCUCCCUACCAGUUCCCUUUUGCAUCCCUUCCGGUUUCCCCGGCGCUUCACCUAGGACACAAGUUGCGUCGCCCUGCUUCGGUGUUUGUUUUUCCUCUGUUUUCCUAUUUUGUUGGGAGUUAUUCAUUGUAAUUCAUUUCGUAUGUAUUUCUUCUUUAUUUAUAUAUUUAUUUGUUAAUAAAAUGGUGGCU